GGAUGUGAAGGAGAUCUGGCUGCAACAUCUGUCACCCUAUUGAUCGUCAGGGUUGAUUCAAUUAAUCCGUCUGGUGGGCCCCCAUAUUCUCUUCCUCCCUCAUAGUCCCAUGUGUCUCCCUUUUCAAGCUGUGAACUGGGUUGGUCAAAGAGGAAGGCCUUUCUUGAAUACAGACAGAGAAGCUCUGCUCCCUUGCUAGGACCUCCAAACCAGUUCCCAAUAUGGGCAGGGUAUUCAUACAUUUAUUGU
rnacentral:snRNA from 1 species